rnacentral:rRNA from 1 species
ANGANGCAGCGUAUAAUGCAGUCGAGCGGACAGAUGGGAGCUUGCUCCCUGAUGUUAGCGGCGGACGGGUGAGUAACACGUGGGUAACCUGCCUGUAAGACUGGGAUAACUCCGGGAAACCGGGGCUAAUACCGGAUGGUUGUUUGAACCGCAUGGUUCAGACAUAAAAGGUGGCUUCGGCUACCACUUACAGAUGGACCCGCGGCGCAUUAGCUAGUUGGUGAGGUAACGGCUCACCAAGGCAACGAUGCGUAGCCGACCUGAGAGGGUGAUCGGCCACACUGGGACUGAGACACGGCCCAGACUCCUACGGGAGGCAGCAGUAGGGAAUCUUCCGCAAUGGACGAAAGUCUGACGGAGCAACGCCGCGUGAGUGAUGAAGGUUUUCGGAUCGUAAAGCUCUGUUGUUAGGGAAGAACAAGUGCCGUUCAAAUAGGGCGGCACCUUGACGGUACCUAACCAGAAAGCCACGGCUAACUACGUGCCAGCAGCCGCGGUAAUACGUAGGUGGCAAGCGUUGUCCGGAAUUAUUGGGCGUAAAGGGCUCGCAGGCGGUUUCUUAAGUCUGAUGUGAAAGCCCCCGGCUCAACCGGGGAGGGUCAUUGGAAACUGGGGAACUUGAGUGCAGAAGAGGAGAGUGGAAUUCCACGUGUAGCGGUGAAAUGCGUAGAGAUGUGGAGGAACACCAGUGGCGAAGGCGACUCUCUGGUCUGUAACUGACGCUGAGGAGCGAAAGCGUGGGGAGCGAACAGGAUUAGAUACCCUGGUAGUCCACGCCGUAAACGAUGAGUGCUAAGUGUUAGGGGGUUUCCGCCCCUUAGUGCUGCAGCUAACGCAUUAAGCACUCCGCCUGGGGAGUACGGUCGCAAGACUGAAACUCAAAGGAAUUGACGGGGGCCCGCACAAGCGGUGGAGCAUGUGGUUUAAUUCGAAGCAACGCGAAGAACCUUACCAGGUCUUGACAUCCUCUGACAAUCCUAGAGAUAGGACGUCCCCUUCGGGGGCAGAGUGACAGGUGGUGCAUGGUUGUCGUCAGCUCGUGUCGGGAGAUGUUGGGUUAAGUCCCGCAACGAGCGCAACCUUUGAUCUUAGUUGCCAGCAUUCAGUUGGGCACUCUAAGGUAACUGCCGGUGACAAACCGGAGGAAGGGGGGGAAGGACGUCAAAUCAUCAUGGCCCCUUAUUGACCUGGGGUUAACACCGGGGCUACAAAGG